UGACCUGAAGCCGCCCCUUUGGUGCUCGCGAACCUCUCUGUUCCCGCGUAGACCGAGGCCCAGCCUCUGUCUGUCCCUCUCAUGCCGACCUCUCAUCUCGGCUGCAGACCCUCCAUGGCCAGCCCAACGAAACUCCCCCGACCAUUGUCGCAGCCAACCUCGACGAGCCCCGCUGUCACCGGGAUUGGUGCAGGUGCUCCUGGAUCUGCCCAUCCCGUCGGCACCCCGCCGAAGCCAGCUACCAACCCACGACCGCCCCGACCUGCAUCCCCGAUCUGGCAAACAGAGCAUCUUUGUUUGUGUUUUUGGUUUCGUCAAAUAGCACUGAGUUCCGCAAGCGUGUCGCAACGUGAGGAUUCGUACGACCACGUGGGUUCGUCUGCUUCACGGAUUCGUUCUUCUUCCAAGAAGGAUCACAAGCAAGAUGAUCAUUUCCCUAGAUCCCAUUA